rnacentral:rRNA from 1 species
UCCGUAGGCGGGUCAUUAAGUCAGAUGUGAAAUCCCACAGCUUAACUGUGGAACUGCCUUAGAUACUGAUGAUCUUGAGUUUUAGUGAAGUAGAUAGAAUGUGUAGUGUAGCGGUGAAAUGCAUAGAUAUUACACAGAAUACCGAUUGCGAAGGCAGUCUACUAACUAACAACUGACGCUAAUGGACGAAAGCGUGGGGAGCGAACAGGAUUAGAUACCCUGGUAGUC